UACGUAGGGGGCUAGCGUUGUCCGGAAUCAUUGGGCGUAAAGCGCGCGUAGGCGGCCCGGUAAGUCCGCUCUGAAAGUCCACGGCUCAACCCUGGAAAGCGGGUGGAUACUGCCGGGCUAGAAUCCGGAAGAGGCGAGUGGAAUUCCUGGUGUAGCGGUGGAAUGCGCAGAUAUCAGGAAGAACACCCGUGGCGAAGGCGGCUCUCUGGGACGGUACUGACGCUGAGACGCGAAAGCGUGGGGAGCGAACAGG
rnacentral:rRNA from 1 species